UUCUGCCAAAACGUCCGUAUGUGACGGUCAAUUCAAAUCUUUGAGGCGAAAUCAUUUUCACCAUGGCUCCUGCUCUCCACAACUACCUGUUUAUUCAGCUAAUAGUCCUCCCUAAAGAGUUCUCGUAUAAGGUCAUUAAUUCACUUUGGGUCGUCUUCAUUUGGACAUUAAAAGUUCAUGACUCAGGAGAAAACAUUGGAGACCGGAGGAGCAGAUUCCACUCUUCUCUGCCCAAACCAAACACUCACGGACAUCAGUACUGUAGUAUGUCACAAAAAUAGAGUUACACAUGAGGGUCAUGAGUGUAGAGUAUCACAAGACGUUGAAACAAAUCAUACCAACAGCACUUGUGACCCCAGAAUCACACUGCAGACAGAGAAUGACAGUGUUUCUACACAUCACCAACAUACAACCAUCUGAUGAAGGGAGCUACACCUGUGAUUGUACAUAUUAUAAAGGCAGUGCUAAUAUAAACAUACACAUUUAUGUCAAUGGUAAGUGUUUGGUCUGAUGGGAUUGUUGACAAUCAUUUUAAAAUGAACCCCAGCAUAUCUUAUCAUCACAUAUUUAGUAGAAUGCAUGUCAUGUGCAAAAGUACAUUCAGUAUUUCAUAUGUAUUUGACUUACCUUGAUGUUCUGUGAGUGUUUUAGUGUCUUGUUUUGGAACAUCUGUCAUAGAAGUUACAUCUGAGAGAAUCUCUGUAGUCACAAUAUUGGAUUUUCUCAUCAGUGCAUGUAAUAAUGUCUUAAAAUGGAGAAUGUCAACAACACGAUGCCUUAAUGUAAAUGAACAAGAUGGUGGAAGAGAAACAUAUAAGAUCAUCAUAUAUAUUUUCCCCUUUCUCAGGACACCAAGUGCAACAGGCCACAGACAACGGUCUCUUCUAUUGGGGGAUGAUAACAGGCGUUGCAGCAUGUGUAGCUGUCCUGGUGUUUGGUGGUGUAAUCAUGGGGAAAAUUCAUCUCAGAACACAGCUACAAGUGUCUGGAACCGUCAACGAGGUGCCACAACACUGCUUGCUGUUGCCUGUUAGUCAGAUGACAGCAGCUGGGUCCCCAUUUGCAACAGUUGCGUACAUUUCACAAUAAAUAUCUGCGCGCUCCAUACCUGAAAAGACCGCACACGUACAAUAACACUGAGAUUCAUCAACUUGGGCGGAUGCAAUACGUAUGCAUGUUUCCGCUAUAAAUCAGACCCGUCCUGAACCUGUGCGCGCCUGAGUGAGAAUCUGCCUGAAAAAUGGCCUUCAUUCACCAUUUAUAGUGAGAAUAACGCCUUUUUUCACUGUAUACUUUGGAAGUAUUGUAAUUAUACCAUGGUAGUUUCCAAAUAGAAAUGGUAAGCUUGAUCAAAUGUCUCUGGAGGUGUUGGCAGAAUGUUUAAAUCUUUUACAGUGACAUUUGCAGUAUCUGACCAUUUCUGAAAUAAAAAACUAUUGCAAAUGGUUGUAGACCUGUAAA